UUACAUUUUCAGAUGACGUUCUCGCUUCCGUCGCCGUCGUGUUUGCUUAAGCUCCCUAUUAUCUGCUGUGUCGACGACGUAAACACUUGACCACAAAUUUUCUUGUAAUCUCUAGGGACGCUCAGAUCAGUUCUAGCAUAUACUAAGAACAGGAGGGAAACUCGUUUGCUUUCUUUUCCCUCGAUGGAGUUUAAGAAGCUACGACGGCUGCUGCAACGAAAACGACACUUCAAAAUACAACUUUGCCUUAGGUUACGUGUGUUGCGAUUAUUCCAUGUUGU